CCUGAUGGCUCAGUUGGUAAAGCAUUUGCCUACAAUGUGGAAGACCUGGGUUCAAUCCCAGGGUCAGGA
rnacentral:tRNA from 1 species